AGAGUUUGAUCCUGGCUCAGGAUGAACGCUAGCGGCAGGCCUAAUACAUGCAAGUCGGACGGGAUCCGUCGGAGAGCUUGCUCGAAGACGGUGAGAGUGGCGCACGGGUGCGUAACGCGUGAGCAACCUACCUCUAUCAGGGGGAUAGCCUCUCGAAAGAGAGAUUAACACCGCAUAAUAUCAACAGUUCGCAUGUUCGGUUGAUUAAAUAUUUAUAGGAUAGAGAUGGGCUCGCGUGACAUUAGCUAGUUGGUAGGGUAACGGCUUACCAAGGCGACGAUGUCUAGGGGCUCUGAGAGGAGAAUCCCCCACACUGGUACUGAGACACGGACCAGACUCCUACGGGAGGCAGCAGUAAGGAAUAUUGGUCAAUGGGCGGAAGCCUGAACCAGCCAUGCCGCGUGCAGGAUGACUGCCCUAUGGGUUGUAAACUGCUUUUGUCCAGGAAUAAACCUAUCUACGUGUAGAUAGCUGAAUGUACUGGAAGAAUAAGGAUCGGCUAACUCCGUGCCAGCCGCCGCGGUAAUUC
rnacentral:rRNA from 1 species